GGGUUAUACAUGCAAGUCGAGCGAAUGGAUUAAGAGCUUGCUCUUAUGAAGUUAGCGGCGGACGGGUGAGUAACACGUGGGUAACCUGCCCAUAAGACUGGGAUAACUCCGGGAAACCGGGGCUAAUACCGGAUAACAUUUUGAACCGCAUGGUUCGAAAUUGAAAGGCGGCUUCGGCUGUCACUUAUGGAUGGACCCGCGUCGCAUUAGCUAGUUGGUGAGGUAACGGCUCACCAAGGCAACGAUGCGUAGCCGACCUGAGAGGGUGAUCGGCCACACUGGGACUGAGACACGGCCCAGACUCCUACGGGAGGCAGCAGUAGGGAAUCUUCCGCAAUGGACGAAAGUCUGACGGAGCAACGCCGCGUGAGUGAUGAAGGCUUUCGGGUCGUAAAACUCUGUUGUUAGGGAAGAACAAGUGCUAGUUGAAUAAGCUGGCACCUUGACGGUACCUAACCAGAAAGCCACGGCUAACUACGUGCCAGCAGCCGCGGUAAUACGUAGGUGGCAAGCGUUAUCCGGAAUUAUUGGGCGUAAAGCGCGCGCAGGUGGUUUCUUAAGUCUGAUGUGAAAGCCCACGGCUCAACCGUGGAGGGUCAUUGGAAACUGGGAGACUUGAGUGCAGAAGAGGAAAGUGGAAUUCCAUGUGUAGCGGUGAAAUGCGUAGAGAUAUGGAGGAACACCAGUGGCGAAGGCGACUUUCUGGUCUGUAACUGACACUGAGGCGCGAAAGCGUGGGGAGCAAACAGGAUUAGAA
rnacentral:rRNA from 1 species